AUCACACACAGUCGUCCCUGGAGAUAUGUUGUUUGCCGCGAUGUUAUCCGGUGUUGCCUGGAAUUCUGCAGAAGCAUUGCUGUAUUUUACCAGACAGAAACACAGGGUUGGACAUAUUAAUCCUGAGAUGUUCAAAAAUGAUAAAAUAUACUGAAACGUAUACUGAAAAAUAAAGAGAAUUUGAUGGAUAUAUUUUAUGGCCAAAUGUAUAUUCACUACAUGAAGUUAUUUACACGUCUGCUGUCUUUUUAAUCACUCAGAAAUAAUUAAACAUGAAUUUUCCAAAAAUCUGAA